rnacentral:rRNA from 1 species
CUACGGGAGGCAGCAGUAGGGAAUCUUCCGCAAUGGACGAAAGUCUGACGGAGCAACGCCGCGUGAGCGAUGAAGGCCUUCGGGUCGUAAAGCUCUGUUGUCAGGGAAGAACAAGUACCGGAGUAACUGCCGGUACCUUGACGGUACCUGACCAGAAAGCCACGGCUAACUACGUGCCAGCAGCCGCGGUAAUACGUAGGUGGCAAGCGUUGUCCGGAAUUAUUGGGCGUAAAGCGCGCGCAGGCGGUUCCUUAAGUCUGAUGUGAAAGCCCCCGGCUCAACCGGGGAGGGUCAUUGGAAACUGGGGAACUUGAGUGCAGAAGAGGAGAGCGGAAUUCCACGUGUAGCGGUGAAAUGCGUAGAGAUGUGGAGGAACACCAGUGGCGAAGGCGGCUCUCUGGUCUGUAACUGACGCUGAGGCGCGAAAGCGUGGGGAGCGAACAGGAUUAGAUACCCUGGUAGUCCACGCCGUAAACGAUGAGUGCUAAGUGUUAGAGGGUUUCCGCCCUUUAGUGCUGCAGCAAACGCAUUAAGCACUCCGCCUGGGGAGUACGGCCGCA